AUGGAACUUAGAUCCCCUGGAAGUAUUGUUGAGGUCAAUACUAAGCUAACGAAAGGUAAACUUUACUUUCACAGAUUUUUUAUGGCACUUAAGCCUUGUGUAGAUGGAUUCCAUGCUGGAUGUAGGCCUUAUCUUAGCAUAGACUCAACUGUAUUGAAUGGAAAGUGGAAUGGUCAUUUAGUUGCAUGCACAGCUUUAGAUGGACAUAAUUGGAUGUUUUCCGCUUGCAUUUGGCUUUAUUGA
rnacentral:rRNA from 1 species